rnacentral:rRNA from 1 species
CCUACGGGCGGCAGCAGUGAGGAAUAUUGGUCAAUGGGCGCGAGCCUGAACCAGCCAAGUCGCGUGAGGGAAGACGGUCCUAUGGAUUGUAAACCUCUUUUGUCGGGGAGCAAAAGACGCUACGCGUGGCGUUCCGAGAGUACCCGAAGAAAAAGCAUCGGCAAACUCCGUGCCAGCAGCCGCGGUAAUACGGAGGAUUCGAGCGUUAUCCGGAUUUAUUGGGGUAAAGGGGUGCGCAGGCGGAAGCCAAAGUCAGCGGUAAAAUUGGGGGGCCCAACCUCUUCGAGCCGUUGAAACUGGGUUUCUUGAGUGAGCGAGAAGUAUGCGGAAUGCGUGGUGUAGCGGUGAAAUGCAUAGAUAUCACGCAGAACUCCGAUUGCGAAGGCAGCAUACCGGCGCUCAACUGACGCUCAUGCACGAAAGUGUGGGUAUCGAACAGGAUUAGAUACCCGAGUAGUC